GCUCAUACACUAAAACUGGAAUUAAAUCAAAAUGAUACAGAGAAGAUUAGCAUGGCCCUAUGGAGGCAAGGAAGAAAUAUGAAUUCAUGAAGCAGUCCAUACUUUC